UUAAAAACAUAAACUAUUAAUGUUUGAAUAACUAACAAUAAAAACAUAAAUUGUCAGACAUAUGGUGAAAUCAAGACAGGACAAGGAAAUGAAAAUCAGUUCACGUGAACAGAGUAGUCUUCAUUUUUUUCCCUCAGUCCUGGCUUUUGCGCUUGCCACGAGUCUAACAGAGUCCCAGACGACCGAUGCCAAUGGCUGGGCACUUGUAACAAAGCCAGGGGAGAUGGAGAGGGAUGAAGUCGUCGGUUCAGGCUAGGAGCAAUUCACCACAUGAAGACAGUGAAACAUCCUCAAUGAUAAACUUCAGCAGCAGUCUCCUAAGGUUUGGGAACUUUCUGUUCUGAAGAUUUCUAGUAAGAUUUCCUAGUUUUCUGCAACUUCCUUAGUUCAAUAGACUUUCUUUUGUUUAAAGACAGAAUUAUGUAGUCAGUACUGCCCACAUACCCAGGUCUUUGUUGCAUCAUAGAGAUUAGACGUGGGUUGAAAGAAGGGGAAUAGGCAACAGAGACAGAAACUUCGAAGGUCCUUGAUGUUUGCCCUGCAUGAGCGUUUCAUCUUACUUUGGUCUUUGCCGUCAUCUGGGAUUGACCUGAGAAACGCAGCUUCUCUACUGUUGUUCUGAAAGACAACAGGUGCUGCUGACCAACAUGAUUAUGACUAGGUAAAGGGAAGAUGUAACCCCAGAGUCCGAUCCCCGGCUCUCACUCAGGUUACCUUUCUCUAGGGUCCAAAGAUUCUUGUGGGGUGCCAGGGUGGCUCAGUCGGGCAGCAAAUUAUUUGGUGCUGAUUGAAAAUGUCUAGUUGACCUUGAUGGAGAGAUUUUAGCGGAGAUUGUGCUGUUUCACAGCUCACACAGGUAACUAUGGCAACUCUCCAUUUCAGUUAUGAACAUGUCAUACAAAUCCUAAGUGAAAACAGCUUCAACCUAUCAGCCCUCUUUAAUAAGUAAUCCAAUAAUAGUAGACCAUUCAGUCCAGAGAAGAGACUUUCUCUUAACUGUGCCAUAAUUGAAAUGGCAGCAAGCAGGGAGAGCUGUAGUCUUAACAUCAUUGGCCGACCCGUUAGCAUGAUUUCCAUGUGUGUCAUUCAACAAAUAACCCCUCCACUGUAAUCGGAUGAAGGAAAACCACAUACAACUGUGCAGGUAAUUCUGCACACCUGUAUUCUCUUCAGUUCAAGUGAAUCUUCCAGAAGGUUUCACGAACAGUGGGUGUGACUUCCCUAAUUUGCAGAUGAAGACACUGAAUCAGCAAGAGGCAAGGAAACGGCUGGCUCUCUGGCAGCCCAUGGGAACCAUGCUUGGAAUCCCAGCCCUGGUCUUCCUGCUCCAGCCCCUUCCUCCUGCCCACCAUCUGCUCCCCCAUGUCCUUACCCACAUGCUCUGUCGUCAAGCUCCGUCACCCGCUCAGGGGCUCCCCACUGUCCCACGGUAUAGUGUCCAUGUGGCAUUCAAGGCACGGCCUACCCCCUGCCUACCUGGUUCCCUGGGAUAGGGACCACACAUCCCAUAAUCCAGUCUCACUGAUUCUCCACAGAUUGCGCGUGUGCCCGUCCUCGUGCCCAUUUUUCCCCUGAGCCUUUGAUCUCUCAGUCUCCGGUUCCAGACUCCUUCUGGUUCAGCCCAAAUGGUAUGUCCUCUGGGAAGCUCUUCCUCAUGGCCCUUGUCAGAAUUCUUGUCAGAAUCAGGGGCUUCCCCUGUCCUCCAGGACCCUGUGGUUGAAGCCUCUGGUGCAGCGUUGGCUAUGAGCUGACUCCUGUGGGGGUGAGGCUGCGAGCCCCAUGAGGGUAGGGCUCAUGUCUCUAUUGUGCUGUUCUCAGCUGCGUCCCUAGUGCCUCACAUAGUGCCCAGCACCCAAGAGGCCGGCAGUCAAUAUCUGCUGAAUGAAUGAAUGAAUGGGUGAAGGUGUAAAUUAGGUUUAUAUUACAUCCCAGCCAAUCUGCAGCCAUUAUUUAUUCCUCUCCACACUUUCAAAGUGCUGCCCAGUCUCCAAGUUCUAACUCAAGCACAGUAUACCAUCCGAAGACUUCUCUAGUUCUCAGUCUGAAACAGCCUCCCCCACAAAACCCUGACGCGGUGCUUGCUUCCUCUCCUAUUGCUUUAGCUGGUUUCACUCUCUCUCACAAAAUUUUACCUUUGUUUCCACACAGCUUUUCAUUUCACCUCGCCUCUAACUUGCUGCUCACCAGGGUUCACAUCCUGGACCCUUCAGACAUCCCCGCAUAAUAGCUCGUACCCCACAGAUGCUCACGUAUUUCUCACAAGUCCGCCUAUCCGUAGAAACUUUCCUCUCUGAAGGAAGCCCUUCCUGGUAUCCCGUGAAGGGCUCUGUCUGAAGUCUGAGCCCCUUCUCUGCACGUGAACUAGAAGUCUCUAUAGGCUGGAGACCGUGGUGGGCCUCUUCCCAGCGGUGCAAACUAGAACCUAGGCCCCUUGCUUCCUAGCAGGACAAAAGUGCCCCAGCAUGUCUGGGGGCACUGCAUGUGGCCACGAACCCAGUUGCCCCUGGACUGUUCAGCCUGUCCAGGGUGAAUGCCAGCCUCUUUAGUCAGCAAGUGUUCCUGAGCCCCCAGCAGGUGCCAGACACGACAUGAAGUGCUGGAACACAGUGACCAAGCCGACAAGCUCCCUGACCUGGAGGAGCUCAGCCAAGUGUAGCGAUGGGCAGAUGUGUGAUUACCAGGAACAAAGAUUUUAAAUGUGUCUCGGGCACAGCUCCCCCAGGUGAAUGAUGGUGAGACUUUCUGGAAAUCUGGUGGUUCCUGCCUUCAUGGGGGGCACUGAGGAGCUGCUAACAACCAUAAUCAAUGACAUAGAGGGGUCGGCAUCGAGAGAAAAAGUACUCAGACCAGCGAGGGUGAUAACAGAUCAUGCAAGAGACAGAGAUGGGCAUGUCACCAGCUUGGACUUCAGCUCCUCCUUGAUUGUCCCGUGCACAAAUGUAUCUGAGAGUGGCAGCCCAGACCCCCAGCAAUGAACGGGCUUGGUUAGAUGGGUUCCGUCUGCGCAUGGGUCAGCUCGGGUCCCCGGAACGGGAUGGCAUCCAUCAGAAAUUCUUGUUCAUCAUGCCCAUCGGGCAAGUGGAUAUUGAGCCUGAUGUUCCAUAAAGGGCGUUCACUAUGCAUAAUGCAGGUCUGCACUUCUGUUUCCUCUGGCCCGGCCGUGAUCGUGGCUCACGUUUCACUUCCACGGGACUUUCUGAGUACGAGACCGGGCAUGUAAAGAAUGGGAUAAUUGAUCUUUUCCCUCCUGGCUGGAAUCUGUGGUUGCAUUCCCUCUCAACCGCACAGAAUUCCAGUUCGCUGCCUUGGGCUUUGCAGGGUCCUCUGUGAGAAGUAAAAGCCUACAGGUGUGGUGGUUGACGGCAGGCGCAGAGAUAGAAUUUCUUAUGACUGAGUGACUUCUUAUAUUUUCUCUGGAAAAACAAAAACCGAAAAACAAAAACCACACACACCCCCGCACACCUGCGUGAAAGACUUGCCGGCAUCCUCCCUUUGUAACUUACGUACUGUCCGCCUUUGUCUGAUUUUCUUUCCGUCCCUUCACAGCUGCUCCCGUGGACCCACACACGAUGGGACUCAUAAGUAGACCUGAAGACUCUCUGCAGCCUGGGGAGAAGGCAGAGCUUUGUUGAGCAACCCCCAGGGAGGGAAAAAAAAAAAAAAAAAGGACCCACAGGAUUUCCCCCCUUCGGUACAGGAUCGUGCCUUAGAAAUCCAGACAGAUAAUCUGCAAGUCAGGGGUCCAAGGGUAGCCUGUCUCCCUUGGGUGUUUGGGUCUCCAGGCUGUUGCCCCAAGGCCCUCCACCAAAUCAGAACAACUAAAAUCAUGCCGACAGGACCAAGGAAUGGGCACAGAAUGACGAGCGGCUUGGUUUCCUGUCUCUUCCUUUGCAGGCUUCUGUCCUCUAAGUUAAUGCCAGAUGAGUUCAUUAUGAUUAAUAAGAAACAGUUUGGGAAUCUGGAAUUUAGAUUUGAAGUAAAGUGAAUUUAGAUUAGGAUGUGUCUUUGGAACAUGCUUAUGGCGGGUUUCUGCACACUGCACCAAAGGACAUGUCUGGUAACUGCCUUUGGCCAUCAGCUAAUGACACACUACAGAAAUACAAGUCUUUCCUUGCUGGCAACAGGGCAUCAUACCCACAUGUGUUAAUGGGCUCCCCCAGAGCAGGCAAUUCAAUUCAUAAUUGAACAAGUAUUGACUAUCUUCUAUGUAUCGAUGGAAAUACACUGCAAUGAAUAUUCCUGAUAUCCCUGGAAGUCUGCUGAUUUCUAACAAGGAUCUGAGCAUCCUGGCUUCCAUUUGCUAUGGAGGCAGUCUUUGCAUGAUCUGGGAGCCUCGUGGGAAGCUAGGCUGUCCUGGGGCAGGGAGAGGUCUUGCAUUCUCUGCGGGCUGGCUCGUGUCUAGGAGUGGGGGCUCUGUAGGGUCCAGAGUGAAACAGAUCAUUUCAGAAACACUUCUUGCUCUCACUCCUUCUAGAAAUGUGCCUGAGACCUGGAUUAGCAUCCAAAUUGUCCUUCACUCCCUUCUGACUCUGGUCUUCUUUAGACGAGUACGGAUUCAUUAGUGGUGAAUCUGGCUACCUGCCUGGGGGACUUCUGUUUGCACCAUUUCCCCAUCUUGUAGAUUCAAAAUCACAGCACUUGCCCUAGAAUCACUGAGGAAAGCAAGACGCUAUCCCUUGAGCAAUUUACAAGAAAGAACUCUGUAAACAUGGGGAUCUUUGUAAUUUGUUUAACUUCGCUCUUGGAUUUCGGUCUCUGAGGAUCCUGAUCCUCUAGGUCAGUGGUUUCCAAACCUCACUGAUCAUCAUAAUCACCCAGGGACCCUUUUAAAAAUACGGAUUCUUAGGCCACACUUGGCUGAGCUUCUAAUGGAGAAGGUCAGAGAGAGGAAAAGAAUGAGGACAAAGACAAGAAGAGUAAGGAGGCGAUGUAAGUAGUUGAAAAUUGCUCACCUAAGCAUCGGGCCCUGCGGCCCCACAUGGAUGUGAUUUAUUUUUUAUUUUUCAUUUCAAAGAGUUAAUGAUAUAAUUACCCCCAAAGCAAUUAGAUGCAGUGUGGAAACAAAAUGGGUGAGGGACUGGGAGACAGGCUUAUUGAAGAGGAAGAUGAAGGAGUCAAGUAUGGCCAGCGUGUGAUCUCCCUGAACUAGGGCUUCUGGCUACACCCCCCAACCCAGCCACUAUCUCAGCCUCCGUGCAUCUCUUCAGUAGCUGUGCGCCCAUAGCUUGAGGGCAUGACUUCCCCCAACACGCACGUUUACUGAGCACUUACUGCUUUCCAGGGUCGAGUAAAGGCAUUAGCACUCAGGGAUGAACAGAUCUGGGGCCUCUGUCCUCUCGUGGAGCUUGCACUCAGCUGGGAGGGGAGAUCCAGAAAGGACUUCUCAGAUAAGUAAGAUCCUUACAAAUGGUGAUGAGUAGUUUAAAGGAAACAAAGUGCUGGGAUGGAGAUGAGAGUGUUGGGGGAAGCAAAGGGUAAUUAGAAGGAAAUACGGCGGCUCCAAAAAGGACAGAGCUAGGUGCAGGCAGAACCUGGGUUCUAGAUGCAGCUCGGACAGCUGUGGGCUCUGGGAGAACGUCAGCGAGUUGUCAAACCAUGUCUGUAUUCUUUUCCUGGCGCUGCCGUGACAAAUUGCCUCAAAGCGGAUGGCUUAACAUUUAAAAACAAAGCGAUCCCACUGCGGUUCCGGAGGUUGGAAGUCCAAAAUGGGUCUCACUGGGCUAAAAGCAAGUGUUGGAGAGCUGCAUUCUUUCUGUAGGAUCUAGGAGAACAUCGUCUAUACAUCGUCUAUAGCUGGUCUAUACAGUUUUGACAGGCUGCCUGUACCUCUCGGUUCGUGGCUUCCUUCCAUCUGCAGAGCCCAUAGUUAACGCCCUCACGCAUCACUCUGAUUCCCCCGUUGUCCCUUUUAUGGACCACUGUGAUUACUUCAAGGCCAGCUGGAUAAUCCAGGAUCUUCUCCCCAUCCCAGGAUCCUUAGUGAGUCACACCUGCGAAGUCCCUUUCACCAUGCGCGGUGGCAUAUUCAAAGUUCAUGGGGUUCCUAGGUGGCUCAUUCAUUAAGCAUCUUCCUUCUGCUCAGGUCAUGAUCCCAGGGUCCUGGG